CAAUGUUGGAAACUGAGAGUGAAGCAGGUUUUAGCAAAAUCCAGGAGAUCUUCCUUCACAGGAGGCUGAGUUUGGUGACAAACUUCUAUCUGAACCACAAACACGUCUUAGUUCCAGAUGCUUCGAAUGCAAAGUACAGACCUUUGGUUUCCUACAGUGUUCUGGCGGUGAGUUCCUCUCAGUCAUGGUUCCCAGCAGCUCCAGUCCUUCCACAGCCCACAGUCUGGCUCCACAUGCUCCAACACAACAAACCUGGACAAACAUCUCAGCAGCACAAACCCAACGUCUCAGUAAAUGAAUCAAAUCAUUAAACAUGCAUGUUUCUGUUUCCUGUAGGAGGAUCUUGUUAAGAAGUCAUGGUGGGGGGGGGGGCUUUGCACCAUGAGUUCACAAGAGAAGGAGAGAAGAUGCUGAGAUGUAGAUGCUGAGAUGUUUGGAGCCACCGCAGAGGAAACAGAAAACCCAAACACGGAUGGGCUGCCUCAUUCCGGAUCUCCUGCAGCUUCAGCAAUGACCGAAAAUGAGGCCACUUUUACAAGAGGCUAAAGAUAUGCACCUGUGUUCCUCAUGAGGACACGUCCUUCAGGGAACACGGACCGUGGACUUCCUGUUCAUUCCCCACGGCUUCCCAAGAUGCUGAACGAGAACCGGCUCCACGCAGCUCCAUGAUGACACCUUCAUCGCCUCAGAGCCGCUCCUCUUCAUGCCAACACCAGGAGCAGAUCAACAGUUCUGAAGAACCUCUGCUGGCUCAGGGGAACCAGCACGCUGCUGGUCAACUCAUCCUCUUCUUGACUUGUGCUGAAAGGACGUUUUCGGUUCUGUUUGGUUGUUGUCUCGAAAAAGCUGAAAAGUACAGUUUCAUGUGAAGUUUUUAUUUUUCAAUCUUCUGUCCAGCAGUGAGAAAAAACUUUUUGAACAGGUUUAAAAUGGCUUUUUUUUUUACUUCAAAAGUGUGUUUGUGUUACUUAUCAUAUCUGUUUGAGUUUAGUGAUGCUAAAACUGUAUCUUUAUCUUUCUGCUGUCAGCUUUAUCUUCUGCACUGAUUCUUUAUUUAAAACUUUAUGAUGGAACAAAUGUUUUAAAAAUGUAAAAAAGAAAAUUUAAAAACUGUUUUCUAGCCAAUUACUUGAUGUUUAAUGUGAUCUUUUUGUUAAUGUAAUGUGUUUUUCAGUUUUAUUGAUAUAAAGUUUAUUUUUGUUUUGCCUCAA